rnacentral:rRNA from 1 species
UACGGAGGGGGCUAGCGUUGUUCGGAAUCACUGGGCGUAAAGGGUGCGUAGGCGGGUCUUUAAGUCAGGGGUGAAAUCCUGGAGCUCAACUCCAGAACUGCCUUUGAUACUGAAGAUCUUGAGUUCGGGAGAGGUGAGUGGAACUGCGAGUGUAGAGGUGAAAUUCGUAGAUAUUCGCAAGAACACCAGUGGCGAAGGCGGCUCACUGGCCCGGUACUGACGCUGAGGUGCGAAAGCGUGGGGAGCAAACAGGG